AUUGAACGCUGGCGGCAGGCCUAACACUUGCAAGUCGAGCGAGCGGCGGACGGGUGUGUAAUGUAUGGGGACUGCCCGAUAGAGGGGGAUAACUACUGGAAACGGUGGCUAAUACCGCAUACUAUCGGAUAACCCAUAUGGGAUUAGCUAGUAGGUGGGGUAAAGGCUCACCUAGGCGACGAUCUCUCGCGGGUCUGAGAGGAUGAUAAGCCACACUGGGACUGAAAAAUGGCCCAGACUCCUAGGGAGGCAGCAGUGGGGAAAAUUGCACAAUGGGCGAAAGCCUGAUGCAGCCGUGCCGCGUAUAUGAAGAAGAGCUUAGGGUUGUAAAGUACUUUCAGCGGGAAGGCGUUACCCGCAGAAGAAGCACCGGCUAACUCCGUGCCAGCAGCCGCGGUAAUAC
rnacentral:rRNA from 1 species